AAGUCGUAACAAGGUCUCCGUUGGUGAACCAGCGGAGGGAUCAUUACCGAGUUUACAACUCCCAAACCCCUGUGAACAUACCUAUCGUUGCUUCGGCGGAUCCGCCCCGGCGCCCUCGGGCCCGGAUCAGGCGCCCGCCGGAGACCCAAAACUCUUGUUUAACUAAAAGGCCUCUCUGAGUACUGUACUUUAAAUAAGUCAAAACUUUCAACAACGGAUCUCUUGGUUCUC
rnacentral:misc_RNA from 1 species